GAGAAGUGUCACCACACCGCACAG
rnacentral:miRNA from 1 species